rnacentral:lncRNA from 1 species
AUGGGAUGGGAUGGAACGGGACAGAACGGAACGGGACAGAACGGAACGGGAUGGGAUGGGAUGGGACAGAAUGGGAUGGGAUGGAACGGGACAGAAUGGGAUGGGAUGGAACGGGACAGAAUGGGAUGGGAUGGAACGGGACGGGAUGGAACGGGAUGGGAUGGGAUGGGACAGAAUGGAACGGGACGGGAUGGAACGGGAUGGAAUGGGACAGAACAGGAUGGAAUGGGACAAAAUGGGAUGGGAUGGAACGGGACAGAACGGAACGGGACGGAAUGGAACGGGAUGGGAUGGAAUGGGAUAGAAUGGAAAGGGAAGGAAUGGAACGGGAUGGAAUGGAAUGGGAUGGGAUGGGACAGAACAGGAUGGAAUGGGACAGAAUGGGAUGGAAUGGGAUGGGAUGGAACAGAACGGGAUGGAAUGGGAUGGAAUGGAAGGGGACGGGAUGGAACAGGAUGGAAUGGGACAGAAUGGGAUGGAAUGGGACGUAACGGGACGGAAUGGAACGAGACAGGAUGGGAUGGAAUGGGAUGGGAUGGAACGGAACGGAACAGGACAGAAUGGGAUGGAAUGGAACGGGAUGGGACAGAAUGGGAUGGAACGGAACGGGAUGGAAUGGGACGGGAUGGAAUGGAAUGGGACGGAAUGGAAUGGGACGGAACAGGACGGGAUGGGACGGGAUGGAAUGGAAUGGGACGGAACAGGAUGGAAUGGAACAGGACGGAAUGGGAUGGAACAGGAUGGAAUGGGAUGGAAUGGGACGGGACAGAAUGGGAUGGAAUGGAACGGGACGGGAUGGAAUGGAAUGGGAUGGAACAGGACGGAACUGUAUGGAAUGGAACUGGACGGAAUGGGAUGGAACGGGAUGGAAUGAAAUGGGAUGGAACAGGACGGAACGGGAUGGAAUGGAACUGGACGGAAUGGGAUGGGAUGGAAUGGGAUGGAAUGGAACGGGAUGGAACGGAAGGGAGGGGAGAAGGAGAAGGACCCAUCCCACCCACCCACCCCCCGCCCCGGCAGGGCCACCCCCAGCAGCAGAGAGGGGCGGGAGACACCGAAAUGGGGGAUUCUUUCAGAGGA